rnacentral:lncRNA from 1 species
AGUAAACAGGGCGGGCGGACAAAGCGGCGGCCGCCGGCCCGCGACUCCCUGACCCCGGGGUCGCGCCCUUUGUUCGCCCUCAAUGGGGCCGCCCCCCGCCGCCCGCCCGCGGCUAAUUGGGGCGCGUGCCGCCGCCGCCCGCCCGGCCUGGGCGCGGACGCCGAGUCGGACCCCAGAUCCCGGACCCCGACCUUCGCCUGAUGCAGACUUGGCCGGGCCCCCGAUUCAGACUCCAGGCCUCGGUUCGGACCCGGCCCCCGGCCCGCGUGGACCCGGCCGCAGGCUCAGACGUCAGGCCCCUCGCCCCCCUGGAUGCGGACCCCAGGCCUCAGACCUGAGGCCGACCCGGCCCGGCUCUGGCCCCUCCCUCGUCCGGCCCCCUGCCCGCCACCCUGGGCCGCGAGCCCGGGGCCUGCCUGGAGGAGGCGCGCGGGGCCCUCCCCGCCCCGCCCGGACCCGCCCUGACCAGCCUAGCCCUGGCCGGCCUCCCGCCCCGGUGGCGGACGCGCCUGUCCCGCAGACGGACCUCAAGCAGCCACGGCGGCCACGGGGGCUGCCUGUCACCCAGCGCGGGGUGAGGGGGCAGCAGCAACACUGCUGCCCCGGGGCCCACGUCGGGAGCAGCGGGAGGCGCCUCUGCAGGGCCCUUGAGGACCUCCGCCAGCCCGGUGGUGGCCCAGAGAAGAGAGGCCGACGGUGUCUGUUUUGCUUUCUUUGCUGUUUAUUUCCGCUGGGAGUCCGGCAGCGCCCACCUGUCCUUUCUCUUUUCUGAGGAACAAUAACUCCAUCUGGUCGGCAUAGAUGUGCCACUGCAGAAUGCUGAUGUCCGGGCCCGGGACCCUGGCCACGCUCCGGGAGAGAACCGCCACGAUCCAGGUGUGCGUUGAGAAGUUUUUUCCCAGCGCAAGAAGUUUCCCAGUGAGCCUUGGAGUCCUCCUAGAAAUUUCCGGCAUUCUACGUGUGAGAGACUGCCAGUUUCGGAGAAAUUGUGAGAGAGAGGGAAAGAGGCUUGGGUGCCUGCGUCCACUACCUCCGGCUGGACCAGGAGCCUGGGAAGGGCCCUCUUUGGGAGCAGGAUCUUGGAGCAUAUUUAGAAUUCAGAGUUGAAAACUGGUUAACGGAUAAGAUAUGAGCAAGGGCGUUAACUUUGAUGGUGGUUGACAAUCCCUGCCCGUGAUCAUCGUCAAAAACCGAGCACGGGAGUGAAAAUGCCUGUCCGCCUCUCCCAUUCUGUUGAAAUCCAUUUUAAAAAUAUAUGUUCAUCAUGGGGAAAUUAUAUAGACUCUUAUUUUCAAGGUUAAUGCCAUCCGUUGUCUGAUUGCUUACAUUACCACUUUCUUUUGGUUAAAAAAAAAACAAACUUCAUGUUCUUUUAAAAUUGGGAAUUACACCGAAAGUUGCUCUAUAAAUAGCAGGAAACAAAACAGGACAAAAGCAGUGGCUUUCUUUUUUAGUAUUUUUCUUUGCGGCUAUUAAAUAUUAUCCUGUUUUGCAGUGGUAGAUUUAGUUAAGCUAUUUCUUCACUUUUUGUAGAAAGGGCAUAUGUGAAAAAUCCCACCUUAACCUUGUCUUUCUGUUAACUGGAUCUAAAAUCUAUGAUAUUUAGACAUAGUCAGGAGAAUGAAACUAUUACAUAUUAAAGCAAAUUACUCACCUGUGUUGUAUGAAAUCAUAUUAGAUUUUGUAAAAAAUAAAAUGAGAAUAUUUCAAUAAAUAAGCCCGGCGUGGUCAAAUUUCAAACAACUUGUAAUUGACCCCCCCCAAAAAAAACCCUCAUUCUGCAUGUGAUUAUUUUGCAGGCAGUUUAGGUUUCGUUGCGACCAUUUUAAAGAAGUGAUCUGUGAAGUUUUGAUUUAAAAAAAGUUCUUGCUGUCCCUUGCAAUUUGACAAUGAACUGUUUGAGUUCUAAAUCAGGGUUUAUUUCCUUUCCUUUUUUUUCUUUAUUCUAGAGGGCUUAUAAUUUACUUAGCUCACUAAAUAACUGUAUGACUAAGAAAUGAUACUGAAGUUCUCAUUUCAUUUGUGGGGAAGAAAAAAAUUAAACUGACUUUCAUUAGUAUUUCAGCAUUAUUUAAAACAUUUUUAACUAAACAUUUGAUAGUUUUUAAAGUUUAAAAUUGCUUUAAAUUUUUCAUAUCUAAAUUCUGCUUAGAUGUAAUUCAAAAAGCAUAUGGGGUCAUUAAAAUAACGACUAUUUCAGGCCCCUUAAAGGACUGAUAUGAUGCAAAAAUACUUCAAAUAAAUCAGUGCUUUGCAACUGUGAAAGGAAGGCAUUCUUUGGACAUUUGAGGAAUGAAAUGCUUUUCAAAUUUUCUGAUGUCCUUUCAUUUUCGUGGAAAUCGGUACCUCCUUCUCCCAGAAACUGUUAAACUCCAAAUUCUAUAUAUCUUUAAUUGCUAAUAAACAUUUCCUAUAAGUGGCAUGAUAAAUUCUUUAGAAAAAUGUUAAUUUCUCUAAAUUUAUGAUGAUUCCAUUUUAGAAAUUGCAGGAUUGAGAGAUUAAAAUAAAUUCAGCACCCACUUCUCUUUGAAAGGUAAUUUUGAUUUUUUCAAAAUUUAGCUUGUAUUGUGCUUUUUCUCAUUCCUGAUAUGAAGCCAAGAAUCAAGUUUUGGCAUUUGAUGUACGCAUAUAGAACUGGAGAUCUUGGCCCGUCAGCCUCAAUUCACAUUUUCUGAUUUGUGUUGUUAGUACAUUGGAAUGGAAAAUAUUAAUCGUAAUUCCUCAUCCGUAAGGGGAAAAUUUUCAUGCCAGCAUGUAUGUAUUACAUACAGUAUAUUUCCAUAUUUAUAUAUAUAAUUGAACACAUGUUUAUCGUAGACGUCUAGUUGUUUUAUGUUCUCCUUUAUUUGAAAAAUAAUAACCCCUCAAGAAUGCUUUCCGGGUUGUUAGACUUUUUUUUAUAUAUACAUACACAGGUAACACAUGAUGAAAAGUGAAUGUGUGGACUUCCAAAUUGUGUAAAAUAUGGUGAAACAGCAGCUCACAGACCGUUUCUAAGCAGACGUGUGAUUGCCCAGUUGUGGGGUUACUGCCCAUCGGUCAGGAGGGAACAGAGGGCAUGCUGUUGAUCACUGCCGGCUGCAGGCACUCUAACUGUGUCCUUUCUAUUUUUCUAAAAAGGAAAGAAGGUAUAGAACUGGUAUGGCAGGUGCUGGUUUUUAGAGGGCGAGGGGUUGCUAAUGCCUCCUCCUGCCCGGUGCUUUGUUCCGCAAACACGCUUGUCCUGUGGCCAGAGUUUCAUUUCUGUUGUUAGUUAACUAAUGCCAAGUUUGACAUGAAACUGAGUGAACUGAAGCGAAAGAUUCGGAAAAACCCUUCAUUACGUUUGGAAGGAAGAACCCUUUCUGUGGAUGCUGCCUCACUUUUCCUUGCCCAGCCUGAGACCCUGUAAACUCUGUCUGACUUCUGUCUAAGCCAGUCGGCUUCUUUUCCCUCUCCUCUUCCUGAACUAUCUGCAUAAGAAAACAAAAAUGCUUACCCAAGGUGAACUGAUGAUGAUAGGUUUGUGCGUAAAUAAGUGAGAGCAAAACUGGACCCUUCGUAAAGUGGGAGUACAAGUGAUUACGACAUAGGCAUGUCAAAAUGGAAUCCCAAAGCUGCAGACUACUUUGAGACAAAGGCAAAAGAAAAAAAAAAUAUAGCUUCUUAGCGACUCCUCCAAAGGACGCCUUGGGAGGACUGAAGAAGUGGCAUCUUACUCAGGAGCUGCCACCAGCUCGCCAUCUCAAAUGUCUUGGGCCGGCUUUAAAAACAUCAUUGUUCUUGGGUGUGCAGGUUGGAUGUUCAAAAUCAAUGUGAAAAUGUAAGCUUUCAGUUACGCUCAUCCUACUUGCUUUAAUUAGACUAGAUGCAUCUGUUUACGAAGUCCUCGGAAUGCCUUGGAGACGAAAAAUUUUAAAUUAUUAAAUGUCACUACAUUGAGAUAAGAAAACCCCGAGUGCCCCCAGCCUUCUGAGGCUGAAGUGCGGCCGAAGCCUGAGCGGGGACGCAUGGGCUGGGGGGCAUAGCAGGAAGUUGCCGGUUGCAUUCCCAUUAGGCAGAUCUUGGGAGAAAUCAGGAAAAAAUAACCGUAUAAGGCUGAUACUAUAAACAUCCUGGGACAGCAAGAGCCUUCCUAUGACUUAUUUUUCUGGUGUGGCCCAGAGCUCAGACCAAGUUCUGCCUUCGGGAAACUUGUCCAUCAUAAGGCUCACCAACAAAGUAAAUUUUCCAGGUUUCCUUUUUGAUAAUUUGAGCACACUUUUUAAUAUUAUUUAUUUUGAAUAAUAUAAUAUGAUAGCGAGUUAGAAAAAGACUUUAAAAAACCAACCUGAAUGGAAUUCCUGAAUUCCAUUGGAAUUACCUGAAUCCUAUUAUUUUCCUUGACUCAAGCAGAAUUUGAUUUCUGAAUUUGCAACCAAAUUAUAUGUAAAUUCUUGCCGAGUAUAGAGGGGAUUAAAAAAAAAACAGUGUGUGUUCUUGAAUAUUGUUCUGACUCACCCAAUUUCUUGUUUUACCGAAUAAAAGUUGGGAGGAGGAAAAAGGCAUUAAAUUAACUUAUUACUGUGUGUGAGAGCAAGGAAAGAUAAAUCAGCUAAUAAAAAGGUUAGUAAGCCGGUAUGAUUAUACAAUGAUUUCAGGUGGAAAUUGCAAAGCUAAUAUCCUGGCAUUUAGUCAUUGUAAUGAUACAGUCGUCAAAUUUGUAUUUGUGCCAAUGGAACACAAGUUGUAAGUGGCAUAAUGGAAGAUAAUCUCUUUUUCUUUGUGGCUUUUUUAAUUCAAUGUUUUAAUCCACCCAUUUAAUCACAAAACAUAUAUCACAUUAGUUAUAAUAUUUAUAGUGUUUAGGAAAGUGAUUAUAAAUAGAUUAUAGUGUGGUUGGUGGAUGCAAUAUUUUUAUGUGUGUGUGAACAUAUCUCAAAGGUAUGCAGUGUUUCCAGAGUUUUGCACUUGGGAACGGUUUUACGUGAGAACAGUAACCAUAUAUUUAUUUUCAAAAUCCCCGUUCAGUUGUUACCGAGCUUGCUCAUUAUUUUGGAAAAACAAGAUUCGGUAUUAAAAGGGCCCGAUACUUCUGAUGUUUAGAUCUUUGCAUUCAGCCUAGUUUCAAAGCAGUUUUGUUGUUCUGGAGUCCUCAAGUUUGCUAAACCACAAAAUAUCUUUAAUAUGUUUUCUAAAGUAGUUGAGCCAUACCGUUAAGAUGAGGGACAGGCGGAAUUUAUAAUGGCCGUUAGUGGCUGGGUUCUUCCUUGGUGUGGCCGGAGCAGGAGGAGGGUGAUAGCGGGUUCUGUGUGGUUUUUGGGACUGCCCUGCACAUACUCAUCUCGUGGGGACGUGUUUGCUCACCCUGCACAUCCCAGUCGGGCUGGGAAUUAUAAUAGUGAAGAAAAUUACAAAGGACUAUGCUAGACGAGAGAUUGUUUUUCCCUGCGUGCGUAUUGCUAGAAUGUGGGUAUGGCAUUCCCGAGGCUCAGACUGCUGAGAGAACCAUCUUUUUCUGAGAAAGGAGGAACACAGAAUUCCUGGGCUUCCAGCUCUGGACCCCCCUAGCCCUCGAAACUGGGAGAGCCAGCCUGGACCUUCCUCAGGGAAAGAGUGAAACCCACCCCACUGUGAAAUCACCCCUGUUUGGGCUGUCUCUGCUCCUUGUCAGCAGCUAUGGAAAGUGAAAGUUGGUCAGGAUUUCAGUGAAAAGAUUAACCGGAAAGCAUGUCUACUACAUUUUCAAAAGCUGAAUUUUCUCAUAGGAAAAAAAGCUAUCCCUAGAAAGGAGAGGCCACAGUAAGAGUCUAACACCAAGGAAAGCAAUUUGGGGAGAUUUCUUAAUAUAUCCUGGGUUUUUUUCCCUCCCUCCCUUUCCCGCCUCAAAAUCAUGUAUGUCAUAGAGUAGUGGCAGUGGUGUGGGGGUGUCCAGCACAAUUCGAGGAUGAGGUCCAGGGUGUCUCGAAGGUGGGCCAGUGGGCAGCUGAGGCCCUGGGAGAGCUGCUCCAGCUGCCCCAGCCCAGCCUUGUCCAUGUGGCCAUUCUCUCUUCCUGAGCAGUGAAUCCAACGUGAAGUAGAGUUUCCUGGGAAGCAGGGCACACGAGGAACUUUUGAAUUUACCAAUGGCAUAAAAAGUAUAUAUAUUUUUAUGACAACGGGGAAGUUUCAAUUGGUUGACGGAAAUGGCGAGAUGUGACGUCAAGGGACAUUGGUUAGAAUGCCAAGGCCGGCUUGGGGGGUGGGGGGCUGGGGGGGAGACAGGCACAGAAACGUUGGGAUGGGGCCCAGGAGGCCUCGUUUCAAUUGGGCCCCCGUCGCAGGCGUCUGGGGACAGCCAGGUCCAUCUGACUCUGGGCGAGGGCAUGCCCAAGCUGGGGGAGGGGGUCCGAGCGCAGUGACCUCGUGUUGGCGUCCCCCAGCACCAGAGGCCCAGGCCGGCCCCUCUGCGGGGAAACCACUCAGGCGCCCCUGCGGAGGCUGCAGGAAAAGCUGCUUCAGCCUCCUUGGCAUUCUAACCAGUGUCGGGACCCUGGAGUCCAGCCGGUCGCGGCCCCGGGGAAGGGCGCGGGGAGGAACCGCGCUGCCAGGGGGCAACAGCGUAGUCGUCCGGCUCCGAAAGAGCAAAGCUGCGGCCUAGAACUUCUUCCCGCAGGUCUUGCGCCCUGGGCCAGGGGAGCAGGAAGUUGUCUCUGCGGGGAAGGAAGACAGCGAGCUCGGAGCUGGGCAGCAGCUCUGGGCACGGUGCCCCCGCCCAUCCCACGCCUCCCGGGCCACCGUGAGGGCACCCCCCCCAUUCGCCAGGCACCUUGCGCACCCCCUCCAUCUCUGGGCACUGUGCACUGCCCUCCUCCACUUCACCAGAUCCCGGGCACCGUGCCCCACCCUCCACAGGGCCGGCGGUGUCCGGGAAGCCGCCGGGAGGUCGCCCCUGGUGCGCGCCCUGCCCCGGGGAAGCCUGCUGCCACCGUCGACCCCGACCUCUGUCCUGGGACCUCGUCUGGAGAUCCAUGGCGCACAGCGGCCUCGCAGGGACGAGCCCGGCGACUGUGGCUGCUGUCCGCGGCGCGCACGGGGCUGCGGUCAGGCCAGGGACCGUCGGUCCGCCCGGGAUCCCCUAGCCGGGCCCGAGCGUGCGCGCGCGCGCCCUGCUGCCCGCAAUCAUGGCAGCCGGCGCCUCGGAGCGCAGCCGCCGAGCACGCUUCGGCAGCUGCCUCGGUGCCAGGGCGGCGAGGGCGGGCUAGGGCCGGGGCUUGCGCCUGUCCGCGCCCCUCGGGCGCGCAGGCCCCAGAGGGCGAAGCAGAAAGCUGAUGGGUCUCUGCGGAGCGGUGCCCCCUGCCCCGCACGGGCAGGCGGGAGGGGCCGCGGGCCGGGGGCGCGCGGACGGGGAGCGCCCGGGGCGGCAUGCCCGCGGGGGCGCGCACGCGGGGCUGCGGGACGAGGCGCGGGGCCCGGGCGGCGAAUCCGCUGCUCGCCCCGCCCGCCCCGCCCGCGCGCGCCGGCCCGAAGAGGAGGGUGCGCGGCGGAGGGGGGAAGCGGGAAGGGGCCGCGCCCCGUCCUCGCCCGUAGCGGGCAUGGCCGGGGGCCCCGGGAGGCCUCGUUGGUAUUCUGGGCACAGCCAAAGUGUUGACCUCCCCUCGGAACAGGGGCGCCAGGGUGCGCGGGCACGGCCACCACCCCCGGGCGGUCUCCCGGAGCUGCGGGGCCCAGAGGCGCCUUGCUCCCCCCACCGUCCCCUCCUCUCCGGGUCUCCCGUACCCCCUCCCCUGCCUCGAUCCGGCGGCGAAGGGGUGGGCAGGGAAACGCGCUCUCUGGGACAGGUGCCAACUCCGAGACAAAAGACAUAAAAUAGGCGGCAACGGGGGAAGCGCGGCCGGCGCGCUCGGGCGGGGACGGAGGCGCCGCGGGGGCCGCAUCCUCGGUGCCGACCGGGGAAAGUUUGGGAACUCGCCGCAGCGGCUUCGCAGCGGCGGGGGACGCUCGGGCCGGGCCGCCCUCCGCGCCGCGCUCACCCUCUCCGCGCCGCUGCUGAAUAAUUCAUGGCGCGGCCGCCGGCCAUUAGCAUGCACCGGGCGCGCGGCGCGUCUGUGCCAAGCCGCCGCCGCCGCAUUCGGCGCCCGGGCCGCGCCAGACGAGCGGCCGCGCGGAGGCCGGGCCCGCGCUGUCCCCGCGGUCGCCCGGCGGCGCCCAUUGUGCCCUCGGCCCGCGCCGCCCGGCCGCCCCGAGCCCGGCCGCAACCCGCAGCGCGCCCGACGGCCCGGCGCUGCAAGUUGGGGCCCGCGGCGCCGGCCCGCCCGCCCCGGGAUGCACGUGAACUUGGAGAAAGUCGCGGGGCGCGCCGGCCCGGACCUCCGCGGCAGGGCGUGGGCGUCCCCCGCCAGGCGCGCUUUCGUUUUCGUCCGGGACAAAGGUCCUCGCGGCGCUGGUCGCAGACACGGAGACCAGGUACUGCGGGCCACUCUUCGUUGAGGUCCGGUCGUUCAAUCCAGGAAAGCCGGAGCCGGGAGAAAGAGGAGCGGCGCGAUGCGGGACCGGGGAAGUGGGGCCUGGCCGUGCGCUUCGCCGGCGCUGCCCCGGAGCCGUCCCCGCUGCGGAGAGUUGCGGGAGAUGGCAUCGCUCUGCUCUCUGCCGUUUCGGCGCCUGAAGGAGGGAAGCAUUUGGAACCCAGGACUCAGACCGAUGACCCAGGGCCUUUGCAGCCGCGGGCACGGCAGCCUAGCGCCGGCUGCUUCCGAGCGCGUUCCUCCAGCAAGGGCACGGCUGUCGACCUGCGCGCCCCGGGUCGCGAUCGGGUUCAAGGCGACUCCUGAGAACGGCCUUCCACCGACGAGGGGACACACGGACGAGGUCGCUCUGGAACCCGAAGCCGCACCAGCUUUCAAGAACUCCACGGCCGUCGUUAAGAUUCUGGAACUUGGAAUUUGUGAAAUACAGCCGCUCAUCUCAGGUGUGCGGGCCGUUUGCCAGAGAGAAUUUUGUUGAACACGUAAAAUAGCGUUAGCAGGCAUCCAAAACAGAAUAGAACGAGAAGAGAAAACGUCUGUUUUCAGGUUAGAUGUGUUUGCAGGCUUGUUUGGAAGCUACAAUUCUUUGUCGAAAAAUUGAAGUCUUUCACUCACUUCCGAAAUCUUUGCUACUUCUUAUUUUUUUCUGCUGGUCCGGCGUUUAUGGAGAGCUGAUUCCGGGGGGCCCUCGGUCAAGCCUUGGCAGCGAUGGGGCCGCUGGAGUGAAAGGCCCUUGUGUGGAAGCUGUUGUUUAUGGUGGCAUAAAACGAAAAACAACUCAUAACUUUUCGUAAUAAAUCCCCCUUUAUAGGUGGCUCACACACAGGCCUGGCCAGCGGCCCUGGGGAGUUUGUGGGGAGCGAGGCAGGGGUGAAGGAAUGCGCGUUUGCCGUAAUUACAGGGUUUUAAGGUAACGCCGAAAUUAAUUUCUUCAAAGUUGGGUUUCUGAGGCCACGGCAGUCUCUGCAGGCCAGCACUGUCCUCAUUUUAUUUUACUUUGUUGGUUCCAGUUAUUGGGGAUUUUUAAAUGCAUGUUUGAACUUGCAGGUCCCUCUCCUGUUAAAAUGAAACCCAUAACUGUGGGGGAUUAAGCCCGCUUUUUAAUAUGAUCGUAUCGCAGGUGCGAUUUCCCCUCCGCACUCCCCCACCUUAUUGAUGUGGUUUGGGCAACCUUGCUGGGGGCUUUGACCACAAAAAAAUAGAGGGAGGGCUUUCUCCCAUAACACCCCAGAGUUGUGAGCUGGCUCUUGGAGGCCAUGUUUCCGGGAACGUGGACAGGGGCCUGAGUGGCCCAGGCCUGCCUGGCGCCUCCCUCUCCUCCGGCUGCCUGGUUCCCAGAUCCGAGGGAAGAGCCCAGAGGACCGAGGGCACCGUUUCAGUAAGGUCUGGCCCACCCUGGCCCAGAGGCUGAAAGUUUGCGCAAGUGCCCUGGCUUUUACCCCCAUCUUCCGUUCUGGCCCCCCGCCUUUGUGAAUUUAUCAGAGGCCGUUAGCAGACGUGAAACCUGAGGUGGGCCAUUUGGGGGUGAUCUUGGAAAUGAGGGUGCAGCUGCCGAAGGCAUGCCGCUCCGGCCGGGAGCCACUGCUUGGUGUGGUGUUGGUAGUGACAGGGUUAGUAAUCGUUAGGAGGUCAAUUUCCAUCGGGACCUCGCCUGCAAAACGUGGAGACGUUUUCCCCGAGUCCACAGACGACCUGUAACAUACGGCUAGAUGGAUGGGAAUGGCGUGGCAUUCUGCUGAGGCUGUUGGGCAUGCCCAAGAUGAAAACAGACCCCAGCACAAGGAGCGUCCAUCGCUUCUUUUCCAUGGGCCUAAGGAAGACCCCCAGGGCCACUUAGCAGGGGGUUCGUAUUCGUCAGCUCCCAAGACCCCUCUUCUGCCACAAAGUGUGCCCCUGGCACAUGGAGUGUGACAGGGUUGAGAUCCUACAGCAAACAGUGGGGCUGCCCCACGGACAGAAACCUUGCCUCAGCACCACCGCGGCUCUGUCCUGCCUUUGUCCUUGUUCCUUAGAUCCAGCCCAGUUCCCGUGGAGCCUCGGGUCCCACCAGGGGCUUCUUACUGUGUGGGGCUGUCUCAUCCAGGCAGAGUUCAUUUUUGAGGACUCUGGCACAAGAGACAAGGUUCUGAAAACGAAACUAAUGCCUGCCUGUUUUUAUCACUUCUGGAUUUAAUAGAAGGAAUGUGCUAAGCAGGGGGACAGGGUCUCGUGGAUUGUGGCGGGCUGGUGAGAGGAUGGCCCUAAUAUUCCUGUUUUUGUUUUAAACUAGGGCCAGCCCCAGGAUGGCCCCUCGCCUGCACUUCGCCAUGCCUGGCCUCUGGCCACUACGAGGCCCGAGAACUUCCUGAGUGACGGGGCUCCAGCUGCUGGCAGGGGCUGGCUGCUCAGCAUGGGCAGUGUGUGGUGAUGAGGCCUCCACUCUGGCGGGUCCCGGAGCAUGCUGCCUGAACUGGUGCGGACAGCACUCUGCUCAGUGGAAACAGCAGGAAGCUUUCCACUGGGGUGACUUUUGGUCCGUGUGCUUUGCACCUGACUGGGGCCAACUCUCUAUGAACCAGUCUCACUUGCUCCCAUCCUCAGCAGGGUGCUGGGGCCUGUCCUGCCCUGGCGUGGACUGGGCCUGACUGGAAGACAGCCCGUGGGGCCGAGGGAGGGACCAGGGACUUUGUCCGCCCUGAUGGGCACCUUGCCUGGAUGGGUGCUCUCUUGUACUCAGGGAAAUCCCUUGCGAGGCACCGAUGUGUGCUCCCACUGAGGCCCUUCCAUGCCAGGCAGGAAACCAUCUUAAAACCACCAGCCUUGGUGGUGGUUGUUGGGCUUGGAAGGGUGUAUUUGCAUAUUUGGGGAGAAGGGAGAAUACUCGUGCAGAAGUCCCAUUAAGCUGGAGUGUCCCAGCUCACAUCCGGGCAGCUGCGGUCCAGCCCCUGCCCCUGGCUCACCGUGUGACCCUGGACAAGUCACAUCACCUUCCUGGGCCUGUACCCUGAGCUCAGGAGCAGGAGGGUCGUUGGGAGGGUUCAGAUGACAUUAUUUCCACAAAGCACAGUUCCUGGCACGUGGCAGGGACGCGGUAAAUGGCUGCUGCUGCUUGUUAUCGUUGUAAAUGGUAAUCGCCAUUUUUAUUGCUAGUUACUAUAUUUUUGAGUUUCUAGGGAACAGAAAGCCCAGUUUUGGUUGCACCAGAAAAGACACCUGGAAGUUUCCUCCCCCUCCCCCCGCCAGGUGGUAGUGCAAGUGCACCUUGAGGAUAUUUUCUUCAAGGUAGACUGUCAGGAGCCUGCAGAGGGGGCUUUCCUUGUCAGGGGGACUUGGCCUGGAAGCACUGGGUACACUGGAUGGGACCAGGCCCCUGGAGUCCUCCCAAGAGGUCCCCUGAUGCCCCUCGCAAGAAUGGCACUUGAAGAGCUCACCUGGGUGCUGGCCCCGGGGCUCAGACCCCGAAAGAUGAGGGCAAGACAUCCUGACUGCGAGGUCCGGAGGGGCCAUGCCAGCCACCAGCAUCCUUGCUGGCAACAUGGGUGGCAGUUCCGUGGGAGGGUUUCACCAUUCUGAUGGGCUAAUUGUUCCUUAGCCUGAUACAAGCCUACGUUUACCAAAAUGCUGGCUUUGGGAGAAUUUUAUCUCUUAGCUGAUCGUUCAGGAAGACCCAGCAAGAUGGCCCUUUCUCAAAACAUCUUGUUGGAACAAGAAAGAACCAUAAAUGGCAUCAGCCAUGCUUUUCUGAUGUUAUGCGGCCGAGGAGGGAGAAAAAGUAACAAUUGUCUCCGAGUGAAGACAAUGGACCUUUUAUAUGAAAUAUUUAUUUUCAGGGCCAACCAGUGUCCCGUUGGCUGGGACAGUGGAGCUCGAGUGUCUGGGUGUUGCGGGCCCUGAGAACUCAGGGACGAGAUUUACAGAAAAGGAAGAAAGAAAGUCCCCACCCGUGGUUCUUGGGAAACUUCAGUGGGAACGGCUGGCUUUCUUUAUCAAGUGGAAUUUAAACUUCCACGAGUUUCUUUUUUCUUCUGUGAUUUCUUUUGAAAGACCCGCAGGGGCACAUUCGCAGCCCCGGAAAGAUAGCUGGGUUUUGGCUCUUGGGCUGGAUGGCUCCCUCGGGCCAGGCCCUGUUGGCCUUUGUCUGCUGGGGGGUGGCAGAGUGCAAGUGAGAAAAACAGGACUGGAAGAGGAAGGGUCUGUCCCUGAGGGUUGGGGGGAGCCCGCCGAGUGCGAUUUGGGACAGUAUUUGUGGUUCUCCGGUGUCCUUUACUCCUCCCCAAAUCCCGUUCUGUGAUGAACUCAGGAGCGGCCUGCAGGUUAUUGGAGUCUGGCCUGACUUGGCAGAGCCACACACAGACCCUCAAACACUGUCCCCAGCUGGAGAGGGUAUGUUUGUAACUCUUGGAUGGAUGUUUUCUGAAUUAAUAGAAUGAACAGAAUUUCACUGAGGCCUACCCAUGAGCCACCUCCCUCUUGCCUUCGCGGCUGCCGGGAUGGUGCUGGAGCAGCUGGACUCGGUUCCUGCUAAAUUCACAGUCUCAGUGUAGCCGGGAAGGCGCCCUGGGAAGCGAGGCUCAUGUUAGGGACCCGAGGAGGAAUUGAUGGGGCUGGGGCUUGUGAGGAGAGUGUCAGGGAGCGGGUCUUCCCAGCAUUUGGGGCACAAUGGGAAGGCCUGGGACAGUUGGCCCAGGACCCUGGCCAACUUAGGGGGUCCUCAGUCUGGAUGCCCCUACAAAGCGGAUGGAGGACAGAAGGAGUCGCCCGGAUCAGGGUGUGGGGGGCCCUCCCUUCCAUGCGUCCCCUAACCCAAAGACUUUGUUGGCAAAUAAUAUAUUUGGCUUCAAAAAGGAGGUUUUGUUUUUUAAAGCUGCUGUCACCUAUAUUUAUUUUUUAAUCCUGGAAGCUGUUGACUGUGAUCUCUUUCACCUUCUGCGUUAACCUGCCCCCAAAAAUGCUAUGACGAGAGCUCUCUCUCGGGGGUGACCACAACAGAGCCUCUGAGGCCAUGAGUAGAAUUGUAAAAAUGGGAGUGGAAAAGACUGAAAUUUCGUGACCUGGGUCAGAAAAACCCUAACACACAGGCUUUUAUUCACUUUUGGGGAGGAAGGGUUCAAAGUAAAAUGCUGCCCGGUCUUCUUGCGAAAUUUUGGGUGGGAAGCUUGUUUGAGUCGGGGUCCGGGAGCCCUGCCUUUCGGGAGGGCUCAGAAACCCGCGUGGAUGGAUGAACGGAGCGUCUCGACAGCCGGUGGGGGCCGCUGCUCAGUUAGUGGCUGAGGGAUUUUCGGAGUGGAGAUGUGACCAGCGGAGGCCACGCUGAUUGUCGUCAAAUGAGACUGGUGGUUGUGGUUAGGAAAAUGUGUGCUGUGCAUGGGAUGUCCAAAGUAAAAGGCCAAUUUUUUUUUUUUAAGGGAGUAAUAGAAUUUUCUCUCAAGAUUAAAACAAGAACGUCAUCCCUGAUGCCUUUGGUUUCCAGUGCCGGGGCUGGGUUUUUCUGUGAAAUGCCUUCCUUUACGUCUUGGCUUUCCGAUGGCAGAAAGAGCCUCUAGCUGAAAUAUUUACCUGCUGAUUUGGGGCUCUUAAAUCUAGAUUUGCCUUUCAUGUGUUGAAGAGCGAUAUUUACAUUCAAAUCAGCCUUUUAUAAUUACAUUUUAAAUUAUAAUAAAACGAUGGUGGGGGGGGCGGCUUCAGUCUUCCAUGUGUUUAACAGGGAAAGUCGCUGGGCGAAUGGCGUGUGGCUUGCACAUCCCAUCGCCAGACCUGCCCAGGCUCAGAGCAGGUGCCUGAAGUACAGAUUCUGGCCUGCAGGGUCACACGUGUGUCCUGAGCAUGUCAGGGUCCGUGGAUGUCGCCUGUGGAGCCCUCCCCGAUCUGCCUGGAGAAGAGUUUGUGGAUGGGGAUUCUGGCCCCAGCACAGUGGGGACGCUGCCAAACCUCAUGGCAUGCAGUUCCAGCCUGAUUCGGGCCUGGCUGCCCUGCCGCCCUGGCUGAUAUGUUGUGUCCUGAGCUUCACGCUGGCCCGCAGGCCUCGGGGUGGAGGCCAUUAUCUCCUAGGUGGCCAGCUGGGCACAGCAGCGGCCACUCCUGGUCGUGGCGAUACUGUGUGUGUGUUGGGGUGGGGAGUGCCCACCUCCUCCUGCAGCCGUAACCCAGGUUGUGCCUUCUCUCUCCUGUCAGGGCCGGCCCCAAAAUGGCCACCCAGUUUUCAGGGGCUUCCCUCGUGGAGUAUGGGGGGACCCUGUCCUCCCGGGGCCAGGCUGCUGGCAGCCGUGCCAAGCCCUUUCUGGAAUGGAAUUCCCAGCGUUCCUGGUCGGGCGCAUGGCAUCGGAAUCCUACCUGCUUUGUCUCUGGCAUCAGCUGGCGACUGGUCACGUGGCCUUGUGCAUAAGACCAGAGCCCGAGGACCAGAGGGCUCCUCCUGGCUGCUUCCUCCUCAUUCACUCGGUCCCCCCCUCCUUUCGCUUUGGGCAUGACAGUCUCUGAGCAGGCAUAAAGCAAUAUUAAAAUAAAAUGUACUCGAGGCCGCUGGGGAACUCCCAUCCCCAGAUGCCGAGGUGUCCAGGCCGCCGCUUACCUCCAGUCGUUACCAACAGAAAGGCCCGGAGCUGGGGUGUAAACUUACACAGCGGCCCAGCCACGGUCACUCGGUCACUCGUGCUGUCCCCUCCAGUUCAGCACGGAGCUGGCCCUGCCUGCCUGGGAGCCCCUUCCCACACUUGCAGCCUCGCGGCUCACCCUGCACAGGGAUAGCCUGGCGGUCGUUGCCUCAGCUCCUGGCCGCAUAAAAAGGCUGGAGGAGAGACUUGGGCAAACAGGUUGGCCACGCAGACCUGGCCUGCUGCCCGCAGGAGAGGGCAGCUGAGUCUGCCAAAUCUCCGAAUGAAAGUGCCCACAUUUAAACCAAGCCCACUGACCCGGGUCAGAGGGCCGAGCGUGGGCAUGGGUCACCUCUCCCCUUGGUGGUAAGGAUUGGCUUUGGUGAAACUGAAGGAUUUGUGGUGGUCUGAGAGGGAUAUGGUGACGUGCCUGGACUCUGGACCCCUCGUGACUGCUUGGCCACCUUUUGGCCCCUGUCUGCAUGGUGGCCGUGUCCUGAGUGCCGAUGACGUACCACGUGCCAUGCUCAGCACUCCGCUUGCAGUUUUGUCAUCAAAGCAGCCCUGAGUGGCAGGAGCCAUUAUCCCUAUUCUUUUUACAGAUGGGGAAACUGAGGCUGGGAGAGGCAGCGUGGCUUGCCCUGGGUUAGGUGGCCAGUUGGGCACAAGGCCAGAUUCAAACCUGUGACCACGGCCUCAGCUGCAACCGAACAGCCUCCCAGGGCCUUGGCUAGAAUGGGCUCCCUCCAAGGGCCGGCCAGGGAGCUGUUGGGGUGGGGGCUCUCGGCCUGGCCCGGGGAGCACAGCCGGGGUGCCGGCCGCCGCCUGCUCCUCUGCAGGGCCCGGCAUGGGAACAAUGCGGCCUCUAUCCCGGGAGUGAGCCCAGGCCGCCUGGACUCCCGGAGCAGCCGGCCAGGCCGCCUGCCCGCAACAUGGCGCCCGGGGCCGCGCCACCCGUCCACGGGGAGGGCUGGCGCCUGGGCCGGGCCUGGGCCAGCCGGCUCCCGGCGUCCCCCUCGGGCUGGCCGCUGAGUGGCCAGACGCUCCUGCUUCCUCCUCCCUCUCCCGCCUGGCCAGCCCCCCCUUCCUGCUGGUGGGUUUGGGGGUCCGGCCCACCCGCCUCUGCCACGUCUGCCAUCCUCCCGGCACCCAUGAGCAUCUUUCAAAAAUUCCCGGUGGGCGGGGCCGAGCCGCAGCGGCCGCCUCUGGCCCCCCCUCCCCGGGCAGCCAGUGCCAGAUGAGAGCAGGAGACAAAAGUAGCAUUUUCCUCGUCCUCCUGGGCUGGCAGCAGGGCCUCCCCCAGCGCCACUUGGCUCCUGGCAGCCCUGCCCCCGGGUGCCGUGGUGGCCGAGGCCCAGGCCGCACCGGCUAGGACCAAGGGACCGAUGGACGACGGUGGCCAGAGACCAGGAGGCCUGAGGGCCUGUCGGUCGGGGGCUGGCACCUGGAGACAGCCUGCUGGCCGGCAGGACCUGUCCUCCUCUGCCUGCCUCUGUGACCGGCAGGCAAGGGGACACCAUCUUCACCUCCUUGCUUUUGAGAACGCCCCUCGUCCUCCUGCGCCUUGGAACGUGGCUCCUCCCAGGGCACCCCCAAGAAAGUGGGCACCCAUCAUGGCCUUUGGAAGAUGCUCCGGGACUGCACCAGGUCUCACCCCUUCUUUCCAGCUGCUUCAUUCCCUGCGUGACACCGGAAGCUCGGACAACAGUGCCAGCUCAGGUCAAAAAGUGGUGGCGAGACAGGAGCUGCUGACCUCGGCCGAGCUUCCUCACCGUUCCCUCUGGCCUUCGCCGUCGACUGGGCAUGGCCUGAAGCAGCCACGGUCCACUGCCGGGUGUCUGCAUGGAAGAGGAGCGCUCAGCCUCAUCUCUCUGCAAUGCCGUGAACCAGCCCUCGAGGGUGUGAUUAAUACACACAGGCCGCCUGCCAUCCACCUGAGAUGCCACACAGGUGAAUCUAACCUGGAACAAGAAGAAAGGCCACAUGAGGGAAACUGAGUCACAUCUUCUCCUAGACUAGGGCACGGGGCGGGGCUUGUGGUGGCAGCCAGGAUGUGUGUCUCUUCCUGUGUGCCCCUCUCUCCCUGCCUCUCCCAACCCUGUGGAGCCCCGCCCGUGGGCUGGCCCAUCGCGUAGUCCCUGCCUCCCAGCUGGGGCUGGGGCCCUCCGGGGUCAGCACUGCAGGCUCUGGAGCUGAAGCCCAGGCCCAGGGGUGGGCAAGUGGGUCCAGGCCGCAGGGCAGGGGCUAUUGGAGUCCGCCUGGCACACACCCGUGGGUUCCAGCUCUGAUGUUAGUUAGGGUGGCCUGGCUGCUGCCCGGAUCCCCCCAGCUGGCUCUGCCUGGAGCAUCCUUGGGGAUGCCCUGGUCCCACCGCAGCCAAGGAGUCCGGGUAGAGGCAGGGGACUGGAAGUCGAGACACUCUCAUGCAGAUUUCUUUCUGGGGCCUUGAGGGAGCACAGGGGUCUGUGCUCACAGGCCGACCAGGUCCUGGGUUGGGGCUUCAGGCUGUGCUGGGACGUUCCUGGUCCCCCCUCCCAGGUGACUGCGCCUCAGUCUCCCAUUCUGGGUAGGCUGUGCCACGCAUGGGCGCUGAUGCUAUGGUCCCUGGUUGGGGUUCGUGGGACUUAGUCCCGCCCCUUGUGGGCAGGGCACACGCCUGCACAGGGUGUUGUCAGCACAGCGCCUGACACCCAGGGGUUCGGGGGCAGCAGCUGCUUGCUGCUUGGGCCUGAGCACGAGACCUCCCUCUGCAGCCAUGGGCAAGGCCAAGCCUGGGAGAGCCUGAGAGGGAGCCCUCUGCUGACCUGGGGUCAGGGACCCUGCCCAUCUGAGCCUCAGUUUCCUCACCGAGAAAUGGGAUUGGUGAUCCUGGCCUUACCAGGCCUGUGAGGACCAAAUGGCACGGCCCAGCCUGGUGCCUGCCUGGAGGAGGCAGCCUGCUAGGAAGGGAUGUGGAAGGAGGUUUGAAGUUUCAGAGCUCAGAGCUCUCUUUGCACUUGACUAGGCAGAAAUCAGAACGUUCGGAGCUCUGCUCUGAUGCCAACGGCUGCGUGAACUUCAUGUCGCCUCUCUGGGUGGGCCUCAGUCUCAUCACCUGUGAGAUGGGUGGACAGUAGUCCUUGCCUCAUCGGCUUCACAGGGUUCCCCAGGAAGGUGGUGGCCAUGCCGGUGGCUGUUGUGGAUGUUUAUCGAGGCUGCCUCUGGGCCUGUGUGUCCCUCGAGGGUCCAGUUCUGGCCCAGCCACUCCCCUGGGAGCCAGGUUCCCUUUAGAAGAAAAGAACAGCAUCCAGAGGCCUCUUGCAAAGUGGGGGCGGCUCAGGUCACCCUAGAUGCAGGACCAGAUCAGCAGAGCCUGCGGGGAGGGAGUCGCACCUGUCCCGGGGGUGGAGGGAGCAGGCCCGCAGAUCACAGGGGCAUCUGGUGUGGCCAGGAGCCGGAGGCUGGGCUGUUGGUCGGAGGGUGGGCAGCCAUGUAGACACUCACGGCACCUUUCUGACACAUGGCCUCUAACAAUUGACAACCUUCCUCCCAGUGUCACUAAUGCAGAAGUCCCUUGGGGACAUGGUGACCACUCCUGUCCAGAUGGGAGUGGUCCAGUCGCCUGUAAGAGUUUCCCAAAAGCCACCUCGAACUUCUCCCCAUGCCCUCCCUCCCUCCCCUCUCUCUCCCCUUUUGGUUGGUGGCUUUCUCCUGGGGCACCCUCUCUGCGGUGGUGCUGCCGGCAGUUCGCUGGUGCCCAGGCCUUUUGCUGACCUGCCUGCCAGAGUCCCUGUCCCCUUAGCACCCAGAUGGCCUGGCCCCCAGCCCUGGUUCCCCAGUGCCUCUCCUCCUUCCAG